GAGUUUAUAACUCUUUAAGACAAAAUUAGAAGUGGACCAAUAACAAAAUGUUCAUCCAAACAAAGGAAAAAAUGCCUGCCAAAAUUGUAUAUUUAUUAUUACAGUUAAGCCUAUUUAGGUAGUUCAAAUCAAAUACAAGAGAACACAUCAGGUCAUCAUAUUUUUUUUCACUGUUAAAAUGAGGUAUUCUGGCUUUACAAUGUUGUAAGUUGAAGUAAGCAGUUUAAUCAAAGUUACAAGAAAGAAGACGAGAUAUAUACUUGGACAAUUAUUUCCUAGGGGUAAAAAGCCAAGUGAAAUGUGUAUGAAUAAGAUAAUUAAGCCACAGAAUACAUUUCAGAAUAUCAAGAAGCAUAUGUGCAAAAUUUUAAUUCUAACCUUAAAAUUGGUAUACUUUAUUAUUAUUAUCAUUUUACUUAGCAAACAACAUGCACCAUACUGUAAAACAAGCAAUACAGGACAAAAUAGCAUAUCUAUUAGAGCAUUUAUCAGGUUCACGUAUCAUCUGAAUUGACCAAGACUUAUUUUCACUAUGACAAUUUCUGUAUUUUUCUAAUUGCUCAUCAGUGAGGUUAAGUAGUACAGUUGGCAUAUACACACAAAGAAUGCAUACACAAUCUGUAUUUAAUACUUAUUAUUAUAUUGGGGUAUAAGUUACUAAGUAUAAUAGCAGCAAGGUACCACUAUUUCUAGAACAUGUUCUAAGACUUAUCAUAUUGAGACUGUAGAUUCACGACUGAAGUGUUAUUAGUGCUAUAAACUAAUAACAAAUGUAAAACUGCAAAUGUACAGAGCUACCAAAGGCCUAUUUGACUUUUCAAAGUGCUGUGCUUCUUGUUGGGCUUAAUGUUUGUGAGCAAGCCCCUGCUAUUUGAAUUAAGUAUUGGUCCCAAGUUCUGGGCUCCAGUAUAGUUCUAAUGAUUGGAUGUAGGUUGAGGGGUAGAAUAAUGCAUUUGAAAAGAGUAAGAAGCAAUAACCACUGUGAUAAGAGUGUAUUGGACAUCACUGAACACACGUGCCUAUCACUGUAAGCUUUGCCAGCAUCCUGUGGUUAGCAAUAAUCAGCAGAUGAUGGAGAAUGGCCAGGAGACAAAAGGAAAAAGUAGUAUUCUAUGAAGGAGACGGGAAGGAAUGACACAGAAUAUGCCUCUAGACUGUUGAUGGGCUUGCCUCGGCAAAUGGUGAGCCUGAAUUCCCCCCAAAUAUAAGGGUAAAUAUUUAUCUAAACUAUUUGGCUUAGAAAUGAGUUUGAAAAGUCCUAAAAGUUUUGCUGGAGAAUAUAAUAGAAUACUAUAUCCACUGCAGGGUAGAAAGAAUUUUCUUGAAUUAUUUGUAUAGUGUCUAAGACUGUGAUAUUUUGAGAAAAUCAAUCGCAUUUUGUGGUGUAUUCUUCUGGGUUAGGGCCUGUUUAGGGUUAUAGUGCUAUUGGAGUCCUUGUUUCUAGAAGGAAACUGGGGAAUCCAGAAGCUACGGAGAGCGUCCCUUGGGGUAGUAAUGAGCUGUUUGGUAUCAUUUGAAAUUAAGGGUAAAGUUUCUACCUAAAUUACUUAUCACUCAAACAGUUCACUCUGUGUGUCCCAAGGCAAUGGUUGUAAGUGACAACGCUAUGGUGCCAAACACCAGGGAGCAGCCAGAGGCAGAGGGCCAAGAUAUCCUGGAACAUUAGUGGAACUCAGAAGACAACCAUGUUCUAUGCUAUGCAAAAGAAACUUCCUGUCAGUUUGGAUAUUUGAUGCUAUCAUUUCUAUUCACUUCCUCUUGGCAUAACAAGUCUGUUUAGCAUGUACUGGGAAAGCCCACCUCUCAAGAGUCCACAUACAUGUUGGCAGAUUUCUUUGAGCUCUACACAUUUCAUUAUAUGGAUCAUCAAAGGUGCCAUUCCUAGAUAAGUUCUGCCAUCCUACAUCACACUGUUGGGAAAUAAGCCCAAGCAGCUUUUCCACCCAAGCCACAGAAGGAAGAAUAGCAUAUCUGCACACCCCCUGAGUAUAAGGCAUUUAAUCUAAUCAUUAGGGACCUUAUGAUUGGGGAGCUAAUCAACCAAGAUUUGCAAAUCAGUCAGCACUAAAGUAGCAGACAGCAUCUUCAAAGAUGAAGGAACCAAGAAAGCUUUAGCAUUGUGCUAAGCCUCCUAGCUGGGAGGUAGUAAUGUCUCAUUGGGAAGCACUUUCUCAUGGCAAGAUUCUCAAAACGAGAGAUGGAAAGUCCCGCCACGCCAUAAAACUGCAUUUAAUUCCAGAAUACUCUACUACGUUGUCUUAUUGAGAAGAAACAAUUUUUUUGGAUGAAUAUGAGAUCAUGUAAAAAGAACUAGGAUUCCUAAGAUGGAUCAUUACCUGGGCUCAGAUUUUGUGCUUUUCUUUGAGUUUAUAAUAAAAUCCUGGGACUGUGGCUUAACUGCUCUCGGUAAUUCAGGGUUUAGAUUCAGUGCUAAGGAAAAUGACUAAAAGUAAUUACCAUUGAGUUUAAUACAGCAAAUAUAAAAACUUUUUUGGCAUGACUCUCUUGGAGGUCUGCCACUAAUUUAAAAUUUAAUGUUCAAUAACUUAUUCCCUUCCAUUAAGUCCAUCUCGACCUCUCUCUCCAAUCCUUCUGUAUCCAUGAAAUCCUGGUGGUCUCUCUAAAAGGCUCAAAGUUCAAGCCUGUAAACACUACUCUAACCGAACUAAAACCUUUGAUGGUCCCCUUUGCCACAAAGCCAUGGAAAUAUGGCUGUGUGGGAAAUGGUCCAGGGAGCUCAUGAAUAGCUCAGUUGUAUUUCAGAAUAAAUAUGACCUAAAAUUCUGUGAAACUAAAGUCCUCUUUGGCUCAAUCAAGUAGCUUCUUAGCUGAUCUUGAAGUUAGUUCUGAGCAAGUAUGAGAGCCUUGUUUUGAUCUGAAAGGUCUCCAGAACUUGUGAGAAUAAGUGAUGUGGUUGGGUCACUAUUUUAUUGUUGGCAGUUGCAGAAUGAGUCAUGAACCUAAAAUCUGUUUUCCCUCUGUCCCACAUGCCUGAGUUCUCCUGUCUGGUCUCACGGUCAAGGAGCAGAAGGCACACAUCCUUUACAAUAUGUUAAGCAACUUUUUCUUGAGGCAGAGAUUCUGCUGAUGCAAAGGUGUUUAUCAAGGGAAAAUUGUAAAUAAUCCUCCUAUCUCCCAGAACUCUUGUGCAGACUUUCAAAUUGCAAGCAAGGCUGGCAGCUCCAAGCAGCAUGGAGGAGUGAGCACCUGCACGCACCACGCAGAGCAGGACUCCGUGCAUGCAACCUUGGUACAGUUUUCUGGGCUUUUGUGUCAUGCUUGAUGACAUUUAUCAUGCAAACACUGAGGUGCACUUAAAUGUUACAACCCAAGUGAAGUGCAACCAUAUAUUUAAGAACUAAAGGACAAAAUCAUGUAAACAUUUCAUGGAACAGUCAGCAGCCCUUGGGUGUUACUGGCAUCCUGUGUAGAUACUUGUCAACACACCUGGCCUCAUAGCACCAAACACCUGGACAAAGCCGAGGCUCAAAUAAAACAGAGAACAGUAAUUCUCCUCUUGCCUCCUUAUCUCUUUGCCAAGUAACAAAGGGUAAAAAGUGGGGAAAUGAUCUAGCCCCUAGCAAUUGACCAAAAAUUAAAAACAAAAGCAAAAUGAAAUGACAACAAAAAUAAAACCCUGAGGGUAGACCAGGGAUUUCAGAGCUUGUCAUUAGCAUUUAGCAUCAGAAUUGAAGGAAAGUUUAGAAAACGAGGGAACACACUUACUUACUCUUAUCCAGAGAAGGCCCUACAGAAUUUGACAUUAUCCCAGAAAACCCUUUGGGGAGGGGUUCAAAUGCAAAAAAAGGAAAGUUCAACCAGAUUUUCCCAGAGGCAUUUCUAUUAUGACCUCCUCAAGGGUGCAAGCUAAAAGCCAGGUCUUAAAUUGUUUUACAGAACGUAUAGGGUGGAAGACCAAGAGUUGGGGGUGUGGAUGUGCUUUUAGUACCUCACCUAGGACACCCCUCUCUGCAAGCAACAUGCAAAAUCCAUCUAUGGGCAUCAAAAGACAGAAACAGGAAACUGCUGGAAGAAGAGUCUGACAAUCUUUAUAAAUGCAUACAUCCAUUCGGGACUCCAUGUUUAUAUUUCCUUCUUAAGAAUCCAGAAGCUGCCACUUCCUUAGGGAUUCUCAGAUGGUGCUGAGGAGCAACAAAGUGCACACAUUUCCAUGCCUAGUUUUCUUUCUAGAGCCUUUCUUUUCAACACUCUUCUGGAGGGUCUACUUAUGAACUAAUAGUUCUUCACGACCCAUUUUAUCUUCGUUCAUGGGCAUGGCUUGGUAGUGACUUCUCAGAUCUAGACCACAUCCACACAUGUAUACUGUCCCCAGGAGGACUGGGGGAGCCAGGACAUGAACAGCAGAGUCAGGAAUCACUCACAGCCCUGAGAUGCGUGGUCCUGUUCAGGACAGAAAGACCAUAGCAGCAUCUAUCCUGGGUAAGAAAAGUUCAGUAAGCUCCUGUGUGAGUGCUCUUGAUGUAAGAAGCACGGCAGAUAUUUAAUCUAUAAAUAAAUAAAUAAAUAAAUAAAUAAAUAAAUCAAAACACAAGAGGGCUCCUUAUAGAUAAGCACCUCUUAUCGAUAAAAAAAAAAUUCCCUCUCGAGUUUCAAAGUCCUCAUGCAGUAGUGAUUGGUAGGCUCAAAACAACCUGCAGAAAGUAGAACCAUCAAGAGAAGGACUGGAAAUGUUCCAACACUAGGUAUUUCUCACUUGGUGACACACGAGUCAUCCUAAAUAUCCCCGAGGUAGUCUUGUUUUCAAGGAGUUAUAGAAUGGCUCCAAAUCCACUUGGAGCUUCCUCCUUUAAUGCCAUUGCAGUUUCCCAUGCAUCCUGCGCCUGCUUCCAUGGUGCCAUGGAUAAGGGGCCUUCCACUUAGCGUUGUGUCCCACAGUGCAGACCUGAGUCCUAGGCAGACAAUAAUAAAACGCAAUUCCAAGAUCAGGCUUGAAGACCCCACUCCAAAGAGGACUUUGCCAAAAUGAUGCAGGUGCUCUACCUGGCAGCCAUUCUGGAAAAAGCUGUAGAAUUAAAUAAAAGAUAUCUGGCAUGCAGCAAACAUGCAUAUCUAUCUCUUGUUGGGCCCCACGCUAAAAAGAUCUCCCAUCAUUGUUCUUUUCACUUUUAAGAAGGGGCCAAAAGAAAUAGAAAGGAAUCCAAGUUUUAAAACUGGGAAGCAUGUUUCUGAUACUAAGGGUAGUAUGCACUGUUUAUCUGAAGAAUGAGGUGACCAGUUACCAGUAUACGCUAUGAAAGAACAGCUUGUGUUUGAAACAUCUUAGUGAUAAAUGAGUCCUACUCUCUCAGAAAAGUGGUGACAUCCAACAAUCCUAGAGAGACCUGGUGCUUGGCUCUUUUCCCCCUCAGAGCCCCUGGUUGAUGUUAGAUCCACCCCAGAUGGUGGUCCACAGCUGCAAUGAGCCAGUCUUUUUCACCAGGAAUGUGUUUCUGGUUCAACUUUUUCACCGGCUCAAACACAACACCCCAGACGACAAUAGGGAGCUGGGCCAAUUAGGGGGACACUCAAUACCCCAAUGGGUCCUAGAGAUCCUAUUUCCAAAUUCCAUUCACCACCAUAAGCCACUGGGGAGGUCCUGACCUUGGUCACAUGAAGCGUGCUUUCUUCCCUUGGACUUAAGUUUUAAAAAAAGUCUCAUUUGGGAAAAAUGCAAUUAAUAGCCCUGUAAUUUUAUCUAAAUGGCCCUGUGAGGAAGGGAGAAAAAAAAGCCAUCUUCCUCUUACUUCAUCAUCACUGCCCCAGGGGCCAUCCUAACAGGACAUCCUUUAGAACUCUACCCUGGAUCAACAAAUUCAACAUUAAGGUUAAAUUAAAAAUUAAAUC
rnacentral:lncRNA from 10 species